UGAGGAACAUGACCUUCGGCGGGGGAUAGCCGGCCCAACGGCCGGGUAAUACCGCGUACGACCUUUCGGGGACAUCCCUGGAUGGUGAAAGCAGCAAUGCGCCGAUGGAGUGCCUCGCGGCCUAUCAGCUAGUUGGUGAGGUAACGGCUCACCAAGGCGACGACGGGUANCUGGUCUGAGAGGAUGGCCUGCCACAUUGGGACUGAGACACACGCCCAGACCUCCGUAGGGAG
rnacentral:rRNA from 1 species